GAUGAACGCUGGCGGCGUGCCUAAUACAUGCAAGUCGAGCGAACAGACGAGGAGCUUGCUCCUCUGACGUUAGCGGCGGACGGGUGAGUAACACGUGGAUAACCUACCUAUAAGACUGGGAUAACUUCGGGAAACCGGAGCUAAUACCGGAUAAUAUAUUGAACCGCAUGGUUCAAUAGUGAAAGACGGUUUUGCUGUCACUUAUAGAUGGAUCCGCGCCGCAUUAGCUAGUUGGUAAGGUAACGGCUUACCAAGGCAACGAUGCGUAGCCGACCUGAGAGAGUGAUCGGCCAAACUGGAACUGAGACACGGUCCAGACUCCUACGAGAGGCAGCAGUAGGAAAUCUUCAGCAAUGGGCGAGAGCCUGACGGAGCAACGCCGCGUGAGUGAUGAAGGUCUUCGGAUCGUAAAACUCUGUUAUAAGGGAAGAAAAAAUGUGUAAGUAACUAUGCACGUCUUGACGGUACCUAAUCAGAAAGCCACGGCUAACUACGUG
rnacentral:rRNA from 1 species